rnacentral:lncRNA from 1 species
GAACCUAAUGUUGCCAUCAAUUCCAAGCCUGAGAUAUGUUAUGGUGCUAUUGUUCACUGGCCUGCCAAGGAUUCUAUUGCCACCAGAUGAAGAAUUGGCCACAUGGUAAUCAAAUCCAAGUUCAAAAGUUUCUGGAUCAGAUGUGAAGGUGACAUUUUCCAAGGACCCUCGUUGAAUGGUGAACCAAUCAGAAGAAAACCAAUAGAGAAUUGGCUUAGGAGAAUUCUUGCUCUUGUAGUACAAGGCUAACCCUUUAGGCUCCAAGACCAAACUAUAAGGCCCAUCAACAUUUUCCUUCUCUGAGAGCCUACUAACCAACUUGGAUGGCCCUUUUGCUCUAAGAUAUUGACCGACCAAAAGGGUAUCUGUGGGGUGAUCAAAACUCUGCCAAACGAACCCGCCUUGUGCAUCAAGAAGGACCAUGUUACCAUUUGAAAGAAGCCUGAAGGCCACAACACCCUUGUUGGCAGUGUUAGUUUGCCAUGCAAUUCUGCCAUCAGCAUCUGCCAACACAAGGUUCCCAUCAGUGCCAAGUGAAAAAGUGGCAUUUUCUCCAACUGGGUUGGCCCUGUUGGCCUCCCAAACCCAACGAAAUAGCUGCUCCGAGCGUUGGAGCCCUACACGCAAAGCUAGAGUGAAGGCAUUUGGGGUGGUGUUGUAGAAACCAACUUGGAAUGGAGAGUUGAAGAUGCUUAUCAUUCUGUAAUCUGCACCGUACUCAACGAUGUAGGGUCCAAGUUCACCUGAGUUCUCAAAUUUGAAGGUUUCGUUUUGAGGAACAAUUGCAUGC